GAUGAACGCUGGCGGCGUGCUUAACACAUGCAAGUCGAACGAGACUCUUCGGAGUUUAGUGGCGGACGGGUGAGUAACGCGUGAGAAUCUGCCUAAAGGUGGGGGAUAACUAUUGGAAACGAUAGGUAAUACCGCAUAUGCCGAGAGGUGAAAGCCUUGUGUGCCUUUAGAUGAGCUCGCGUCUGAUUAGUUAGUUGGUGGGGUAAGAGCUUACCAAGACGACGAUCAGUAGCUGUUCUGAGAGGAAGAUCAGCCACACUGGGACUGAGACACGGCCCAGACUCCUACGGGAGGCAGCAGUGGGGAAUUUUCCGCAAUGGGCGAAAGCCUGACGGAGCAACGCCGCGUGAGGGAGGAAUGUCUUUGGAUUGUAAACCUCUUUUCUCUAGGAAGAUAAUGACGGUACUAGAGGAAUCAGCAUCGGCUAACUCCG
rnacentral:rRNA from 1 species